GCUCCUAGGAGCUGCCACCAGGGGACGGCCACGGCAGAAGAGUUUCCAACUGUAACGCAUCACAGCAAUGCUAGGGAUGCUAACACAGGCCUCCCCACAGAGCAGCAGAGGGCAGAGGGUGGCGUGCGGCCCUGCAUCGCAUCAAAUCAGCUGCCCCAUCACAGCCGUUCCCACGCCCGUCAUUCUGGGCGAAGGAGAACCUCGGGUGGCAGGCAGCACAGCGGGGGAGGCGGCGGUGCCAGGCCAGGAGGAAUCUGGCGAUGACAUUUACCGUCUGGCGAGGGAGCAGCCGUGGGUGGUGGCAGCAACUCAUCAAGCGGCGUGGAGGAGGGAGCCACCAGGGUGGACCACGCCUACAGCCUGCACGUCACCGCCCGCCAUGCACUAAGGGCUGUGGGCGCGCAUGACCGCCAACCAAAGACUCAGCCCGGAGGAAGAGCCAGGCCAGCACCACCACAGGGACAGAGGACGAGGAGGAGAGUGUUCCAACGCUGCUCCAACUCAAGGUUCAUAGGCCACACGCUGAGCCCUGCCAAGAUGUCCUGCCAGGUGGUCGGCCUCCACCCCUACACCUCCCACUGGUUCCUCCUGCUGCCCCACUACAAGGAUGUGCCAAGUAUGCCCUCCAGCCUGCAGUCCUUGAAUGGUGAGUGCAGUAACGUGCCCCCAUGCCUCACCCACCCUUGCCUUCAUGUCACCUGGCAAUGCAACUCUGCCUCAGACUCCAGUAAUUUAUCUUCACCCACCCUGCUGCCAGCAUUUGUUAGGAUAUAGG